rnacentral:rRNA from 1 species
UACGAAGGGGGCUAGCGUUGUUCGGAAUCACUGGGCGUAAAGCGCACGUAGGCGGAUCUUUAAGUCAGGGGUGAAAUCCCGAGGCUCAACCUCGGAACUGCCUUUGAUACUGGGGAUCUCGAGUCCGGGAGAGGUGAGUGGAACUGCGAGUGUAGAGGUGAAAUGCGCAGAUAUCAGGAAGAACACCAAUGGCGAAAGCAGCUUUCUGGGACGGUACUGACGCUGAGACGCGAAAGCGUGGGGAGCGAACAGG